rnacentral:lncRNA from 1 species
AUAAUUGAAAAUUUCUUUAGGUAGCUAGCAAAAGCAAUCAUAUAUAUGAAGAAAUGGAGUGUUGAUUCGCUUAAUCCUUGGAGGGAUUUUAGACAGUGAAAUCCAUCCAUACACAUCCAAACUAUCAACAAAGAUAAGACACUGUAGAUAGGAGGUGCUUUUCAUUUUUUGUGAGGAUGCAGUUGAUGUGAGACAAAAUGACUAGAAGAUCUCUGCAAUACAAAGAAUCCUGUCUGGCUGGGUUCAUCUUUAUCUAUAUCCCAUAAUAGAAGUAAUGCAUUACAUCUUAAGAAUACAUCUGUCUCUGAACUACCCUGAAAAAUCAAACUUAAUGAAGCCCCAAACAAUAUGGAACAUGAAGCCGUGCAUAACAGAUAGAAUGGCUAUUCUGGGCAGGUAGCAGUUUGUUGUAUCUAAAUUGCUGUGCUCUGUAAGGGAAGAUAAUUAUUAAGUCCAACCCAAUAGUUGUGCAAGGCAGGCAUUUGCUACAGCAAAGGCCAACAAAUUCCACCAUGUUUAUUUCAGGAAGGUAGAAUUGGGACUAGUUCCUUAUUUAUUAAUAAAUUACUUGGGAGAUCUACAAGCUCUUUUACUAGAAUAUUCAUAGUAGAGAUUUGGAUAUUUAAUCCUUAUCUAUACACAAUUACAUUUUUAAUUUGUGUUCUUUAUGUGCUAGAGAAGUGUGCUUUGCAUUAUAAAUCUAAAAUAUAACUACUAUCAGAAACCUCUUAUUCCCAUUACAUUUUAGUCUCAGUAACUGGUCAUAAUUUGAAAAUUUGAGAAAAACCAAGAUUGUUGCAAAAUGCAUUUCCUAUUUAGUUUGAUAAGAUGAAAAUUUCUAUCAUUGCACUCACAACUCAACUUAGUACAAAUAAAGUUCUCGCUCUUCCCCCACUAAAUAUACUAUAUUACAAUACCCUAACAAAUAAGAGUAACUCCUCUUUUGUGCUUGGCAGACUGGGGUGCAGCUGACGAAGACGCAGAAGAUGUGAACGUGUGGGAGGACAACUGGGACGAUGACAACAUUGAAGAUGACUUCUCCCAGCAGCUGAGAGCUGAGCUGAACAUCCAGCCAAUGCAGCAGUAGUCCUCUGUACGUGUGCUGUAUGAAAGGAGAUGUGUUUUUGUGUGUGAUCUUCAGUUAGGAUUUCUAAUCAUUUGUCAAGAUUGCUAAAGGUGUAUUAUCUAUGAAUAAAUGUUUUUGUAGAUA